rnacentral:rRNA from 1 species
GACGAACGCUGGCGGCGUGCUUAACACAUGCAAGUCGAACGGAAAGGCCCUGCUUUUGUGGGGUGCUCGAGUGGCGAACGGGUGAGUAACACGUGAGUAACCUGCCCCUGACUUUGGGAUAACUUCAGGAAACUGGGGCUAAUACCGGAUAGGAGCUCCUGCUGCAUGGGGGGGGUUGGAAAGUUUCGGCGGUGUGGGAUGGACUCGCGGCUUAUCAGCUUGUUGGUGGGGUAGUGGCUUACCAAGGCUUGGACGGGUAGCCGGCCUGAGAGGGUGACCGGCCACAUUGGGACUGAGAUACGGCCCAGACUCCUACGGGAGGCAGCAGUGGGGAAUAUUGCACAAUGGGCGGAAGCCUGAUGCAGCGACGCCGCGUGCGGGAUGACGGCCUUCGGGUUGUAAACCGCUUUCGCCUGUGACGAAGCGUGAGUGACGGUAAUGGGUAAAGAAGCACCGGCUAACUACGUG